rnacentral:rRNA from 1 species
CUAACAAGGAUUUUCUUAGUAGCGGCGAGCGAAAAGAAAAUAGUUCAGCACUAAGUCACUUUGUCUUUAUGGCAAAUGUGAGAUGCAGUGUAUGGAAUGUCAAAUUUCUAGUAUGAGAAAUUAACGAUUUAAGUCCUUCUUAAAUGAGGCCAUUUACCCAAAGAGGGUGCCAGGCCCGUAUAACGUUAAUGAUUACUAGAUGGCAUUUCCAAAGAGUCGUGUUGCUUGAUAGUGCAGCACUAAGUGGGUGGUAAACUCCAUCUAAAACUAAAUAUAACCAUGAGACCGAUAGUAAACAAGUACCGUGAGGGAAAGUUGAAAAGAACUCUGAAUAGAGAGUUAAAUAGUACGUGAAACUGCUUAGAGGUUAAGCCCGAUGAACCUGAAUAUCCGUUAUGGAAAAUUCAUCAUUAUGAUUUUAAUAUUUAUAAUAUUAUAAUAAUGGUGUGCAUUUUUUCUAUAAAGGACAUUGUAAUCUAUUAACUUUACAUUAUUUAUCAUAAGAUCAUUAGAUUAUGUUUAUUCAAAUUAUUUUGCUUGCAAUUUAAUAUCGAAUAAAUUCUUUUGAUUUGAUAAAGCGUUGAUAGAUUUAUUAUAUACAGUGCUUAAAUAUUUAUAUUUUAUAAUAUCAUAUUAAUCAAUGAUUUUUAUGUUCAUUAUAUGCACUUGUAUGAUUAACAAUGCGAAAGAUUCAGGAUACCUUCGGGACCCGUCUUGAAACACGGACCAAGGAGUCUAACAUAUUUGCAAGUUAUUGGGAAUAAAAACCUAAUAGCGAAAUUAACAUAACUUUAAUGGGAUUAGUUUUUAGCCUAUUUAUAGUCUAUUAAUUCAAUCCCGGGGCGUUCUAUACAGUUAUGUAUAAUAAUAUUUAUAUUAUUUAUACCUCUAACUAGAGCGUACCUUGAGCAUAUAUGCUGUGACCCGAAAGAUGGUGAACUAUACUUGAUCAGGUUGAAGUCAGGGGAAACCCUGAUGGAAGACCGAAACAGUUCUGACGUGCAAAUCGAUUGUCAGAAUUGAGUAUAGGGGCGAAAGACCAAUCGAACCAUCUAGUAGCUGGUUCCCUCCGAAGUUUCCCUCAGGAUAGCUGGUGCAUUUAAAAAUUAUGUAAAAUAAUCUUAUCUGGUAAAGCGAAUGAUUAGAGGCCUUAGGGUCGAAACGAUCUUAACCUAUUCUCAAACUUUAAAUGGGUAAGAACCUCACCUUUCUUGGUAUGAAGGUUGUGGUUGUGAUAUAAUGUGCCCAGUGGGCCACUUUUGGUAAGCAGAACUGGCGCUGUGGGAUGAACCAAACGUAAUGUUACGGUGCCCAAAUUAACAACUCAUGCAGAUACCAUGAAAGGCGUUGGUUGCUUAAAACAGCAGGACGGUGGACAUGGAAGUCGUAAUCCGCUAAGGAGUGUGUAACAACUCACCUGCCGAAGCAACUAGCCCUUAAAAUGGAUGGCGCUUAAGUUGUAUACCUAUACAUUACCGCUAAAGUAGAUGGUUUAUAUUCAAUUUCGGUUGGAUUUUAAACUUUGAAACUUUAGUGAGUAGGAGGGUACAAUGGUGAGCAUAGAAGUGUUUGGCGUAAGCCUGCAUGGAGCUGCCAUUGGCACAGAUCUUGGUGGUAGUAGCAAAUAAUCGAAUGAGACCUUGGAGGACUGAAGUGGAGAAGGGUUUCGUGUGAACAGUGGUUGAUCACGAGUUAGUCGGUCCUAAGUUUAAGGCGAAAGCCGAAAAUUUUCAAGUUAUAAUGAAUAAGUAAAAUAUAUACAAGUAUAUAUAAGAAAAAGUAAUAAAACACUUGAAUAAUUUUGAACGAAAGGGAAUACGGUUCCAAUUCCGUAACCUGUUGAGUAUCCGUUUGUUAUUAAAUAUGGGCCUUGUGCUCAUCCUGGCAACAGGAACGACCAUAAAGAAGCCGUCGAGAGAUAUCGGAAGAGUUUUCUUUUCUGUUUUAUAGUCGUACUACCAUGGAAGUCUUUCGAAGAGAGAUAUGGUAGAUGGACUAGAAGAGCAUGACAUUUACUGUUGUGUCGAUAUUUUCUCCUCGGACCUUGAAAAUUUAUGGUGGGGUCACGCAAACUUCUCA